rnacentral:lncRNA from 1 species
GAGGACCGUAUUCAUGGAAGAGGAUCGAACAGAGAUGAAGUAGACAGUAUGUUGGAUAAAUCUGAAGGAAGAACAUCAACAACAAAUUUUGUGAGCAGUAUAUAACUACAUUUCAGAAGUCUUAUAUGGAUGUACAGAAAUUCAAUGAGGAAAAAGAAAAAUCAGUGAAUAGUUGUCAAAAAGAACAACAAGCAUUGAAACUGUCCAAAUGUAGUCAGAACCAGACCCUGGAAGCAGGUAAAGAAAUGCAUGAGAAGUCCAUGGAGCUGCAUCAUUGGACUCAAACUGAAUGGUCCAUGUGUUGCCACUGAUGUGAGCCAUU